UACGGAGGGAACUAGCGUUGUUCGGAUUUACUGGGCGUAAAGAGCGCGUAGGCGGUUUAUUAAGUUAGAAGUGAAAGCCCAGGGCUUAACCCUGGAACUGCUUCUAAAACUGAUAGACUAGAGUACGGGAGAGGAUAGUGGAAUUCCUAGUGUAGAGGUGAAAUUCUUAGAUAUUAGGAGGAACACCGGUGGCGAAAGCGACUAUCUGGAACGAUACUGACGCUGAGGCGCGAAAGCGUGGGGAGCAAACAGG
rnacentral:rRNA from 1 species